rnacentral:rRNA from 1 species
GAUGAACGCUGGCGGCGUGCCUAAUACAUGCAAGUCGAGCGAAUGGAUUAAGAGCUUGCUCUAUGAAGUUAGCGGCGGACGGGUGAGUAACACGCGGGUAACCUGCCCAUAAGACUGGGAUAACUCCGGGAAACCGGGGCUAAUACCGGAUAACAUUUUGAACCGCAUGGUUCGAAAUUGAAAGGCGGCUUCGGCUGUCACUUAUGGAUGGACCCGCGUCGCAUUAGCUAGUUGGUGAGGUAACGGCUCACCAAGGCAACGAUGCGUAGCCGACCUGGGAGGGUGGUCGGCCACACUGGGACUGAGACACGGCCCAGACUCCUACGGGAGGCAGCAGUAGGGAAUCUUCCGAAAUGGACGAAAGUCUGACGGAGCAACGCCGCGUGAGUGAUGAAUGCUUUCGGGUCGUAAAACUCUGUUGUUAGGGAAGAACAAGUGCUAGUUGAAUAAGCUGGCACCUUGACGGUACCUAACCAGAAAGCCACGGCUAACUACGUGCCAGCCGCCGCAGUAA